rnacentral:rRNA from 1 species
UGAAUACGAGACGCUAAGGCGUCGAAGUAGUGUAUGUCAUACUUCCAAGAAAAGCUUGCACUGUCAUAGAUAAAAAACGCCUGUACCAUAACCGACACAGGUGGGUAGGUAGAGUAUACUAAGGGGCGCGAGAUAACUCUCUCUAAGGAACUCGGCAAAAUAACUCCGUAACUUCGGGAGAAGGAGUGCCUUAUUCUUAAGGUUGCAAUAACAAGAUCCAAGCAACUGUUUAUCAAAAACACAGGUCUCCGCUAAGUCGUAAGACGAUGUAUGGGGGCUGACGCCUGCCCAGUGCCAGAAGGUUAAAGAAGCUGGUUAGCAUUUGCGAAGCUAGUAACUGAAGCCCUGGUGAACGGCGGCCGUAACAAUAACGGUCCUAAGGUAGCGAAAUUCCUUGUCGGGUAAGUUCCGACCCGCACGAAAGGCGUAAUGAUUUGGAUACUGUCUCGGAGAGGGACUCGGUGAAAUAGACUUGUCUGUGAAGAUGCGGACUACCUGCACCAGGACAGAAAGACCCUAUGAAGCUUUACUGUAACUUGAAAUUGAAAUUGGACUUUAUUCGCGCAGUAUAGGUGGGAGGCGUUGAUUAUAAUCUUGCGGGAUUAUUGGAGCCAUUAGUGAGAUACCACUCUUGUAAUGUUAGAUUUCUAACUUUGAAUCAUUAUCUGGUCAAAGAACAGUUUCAGGCGGGCAGUUUGACUGGGGCGGUCGCCUCCUAAACGGUAACGGAGGCGUACAAAGGUUUCCUCUGAACGGUUAGAAAUCGUAUCUAGAGUGUAAAGGCAUAAGGAAGCUUGACUGUGAGACCUACAAGUCGAGCAGGGACGAAAGUCGGUCUUAGUGAUCUGACGGUACUGAGUGGAAAGGCCGUCACUCAACGGAUAAAAGUUACUCUAGGAUAACAGGCUGAUCUCCCCCAAGAGUUCACAUCGACGGGGAGGUUUGGCACCUCGAUGUCGGCUCAUCGCAUCCUGGGGCGGUAGUACGUCCCAAGGGUUGGGCUGUUCGCCCAUGAAAGCGGUACGCGAGCUGGGUUCAGAACGUCGUGAGACAGUUCGGUCCAUAUCCGGUGUAGGCGUUAGAAUAUUGAGAGGAGCCUUCUUUAGUACGAGAGGACCGAGAAGGACAUACCUCUGGUGUACCAGUUAUCGUGCCAACGGUAAACGCUGGGUAGCUAUGUAUGGAGUGGAUAACCGCUGAAAGCAUCUAAGUGGGAAGCCCACCUCAAGAUAAGUAUUCUCAUC